UUCACCACUUGCCCUUUGUCUUGUUCCUCCGCGCAGCUAGCUAGGUGUAGUAGUACAAUUUUAUGCGUGUUAUGAUUAUUGUCCUUACUCCUUCCCUUUUUUUUCUCUGCUAAUGGCUGUGCAUCUCCUUGUCCUCUCCUGUGUUUAUUUCUUCCUUCUGGAGGCCCCAGCUGUUUGCCUUUCCUGCCUGCGGGGACGUUUUACAGUGCCCCCACUUAUACGUGUAGUAGUGUAGUAAGAUUAUAUCUGACCGUUAAUUGUCAUGGGCAUUUUAGUCUUUAUGUUUAUUUCGGUGGAAGGAUAUUUCGGUAAUUUCGCGUUCGCACAGUAUUCCUCAUCGUUUCUCCCGAUCCCCCACCAUCUGUUGAUUCUGUUCGCCGCCUCCAUCGCCCUCAUCCACCAAACCGAGCGCGCCGCCGCGCCGCCCCUCCACCAGAGCCCGAGCGCUCCGCCGGUGCCGCUGCCACGCCGUCCCUCCACCGGAGCGCCGAAAAGCCCUCGUCGUCCCCCUCCACUGCCGUCCACCUUAGUCAUCAAGGUCCGGCGCCGACAAACCACGCGGCCCCUGGCGCUUCAUUGCCCCUCGCCGGUCCCUUCGCUUUCCCCCGCCGGACACCUCGCUGACCCACGCCGGGAUUCUCGAUGAUCUCCCCAACGGCCGCCUGCCCUCGUUUUGCAUGGAGUCGCCGACCCUCGUCUGAUUUGGAAUCGGAGUCAUUGCCACCUCUCUAUUUUUAUUCAGAAAUUUGGAAUGGCUGACAAUCACAUUAGUUUGGAGGAGGUUGCAAACAAUGAAAGUGUGAUAACCAAGGAGUUUAGAAGCGAGGCAGAAGGAUAUAAGUUCUAUAAUGAUUUUCCCUUUGUUGAUAUAUUCUUGAAAACUAGAUGUAUCUUUAGAGUUACAAAAAGGUGAGACUUCUUGUGAUUUUGUAAUUACUGUGUAAGUUCCCCAUGCACUGUUUUUCAACUUGGGCUUAUAUAAUUAAGAGUAAAUUGCACACACGGUGCAUCAACUUAGCAGGUGGGUGCAAUUUGGUACAAGAACUUGAGAAAUGAGCGUUCUAGUGUAAUAACUUGGCAGCUAAGUACAAUUUAGUAUAAGAAUUUCAUAAGUGAUCGCUUAAAUGCAACGACUUGCAAGAUAUGUAUGAUUUUGAUACAAUAAGUUAAGAAGUUAUAUGACAACUUAAUUAUUUGGAGCACUAUUUAUACAUAUUCAAUUUUUAAGUAAUUAUUUUGACAAUAUACUGGCAUGGAUGUGUACAUAAGCAUAUUUAUAUUUUUAUCCUAAUAACUAAUAACUGAAAGUCAAUUAAACUGGAUGUAGAAAUUAUUAUAUUUCGGUUAAGAUUAGGGAAGAUGAAGAAAACAAAAAUUCUUUAAGGUAAUUGGAUGUACAGUAUAAUUCUUAAAGAUUAAAUUCAAUAUUAUAAGGUAAUAUCCCUAGGAUUGCUAUGUAAUGGCAUAUUGACAUCGUGAAAAAAACUCACCUAGCAUAUUCUUAGCUAAGUUGAUGCACCAAAAUACUAAAUUGUCAAGUUCUUAUACUAGAACAUACCCACUUGUCAAGUUGUUACACUCGAACGUUCAAUUCUCAAGUUCUUGCACUAUAUCGCACCCAUCUACCAAGUUGUUGUACCGUUGGUGCAAUUUACUCUAUAAUUAACAUAUGAUGGAUGUUAAAUUCAAUGUUUUCUGAAAAUUAUUACACAGUCUAACUGCAUCAUAUAUUUCCUAUGUUGCAGCAGACGAACAGUUGAUAUUGCCAUCUCUGAAUUCAUUGUCGCCAGGAGAUCAGUUGAUGUUGAGAAUCUCUGCGAGGAGAAGAAAUGAAGUGUUUUGCUUUGGUUUCGAAUUCGUUGCAGUUUCUGUGAUUCAGAUUUUCAGUAUUACAGAAGGCAUGGAAGUGCAUGAAAGUAGUCGUACUGAAAAUUGCAUUGGUGGCUCAUAUUUUGUUCUUCAUGAUUACACCUUGAGAUUUUUGUACCCUCAAAUUUAACCGUAGAAGAAAUAAAAGGGUAAGGUAGUUUAAAUGUAAUAAGAUCACAAUUCUGACAGUACUGGAUAUUGCACUGCUAGCUUAUAAUUUUUCCCCCUUCAGUUCA